UAUUGCACAAUGGGGGAAACCCUGAUGCAGCGACGCCGCGUGGAGGAAGAAGGUUUUCGGAUUGUAAACUCCUGUCGUUAGGGACGAUAAUGACGGUACCUAACAAGAAAGCACCGGCUAACUACGUGCCAGCAGCCGCGGUAAAACGUAGGGUGCAAGCGUUGUCCGGAAUUACUGGGUGUAAAGGGAGCGCAGGCGGGAAGACAAGUUGGAAGUGAAAACCAUGGGCUCAACCCAUGAAUUGCUUUCAAAACUGUUUUUCUUGAGUAGUGCAGAGGUAGAUGGAAUUCCCGGUGUAGCGGUGGAAUGCGUAGAUAUCGGGAGGAACACCAGUGGCGAAGGCGGUCUACUGGGCACCAACUGACGCUGAGGCUCGAAAGCAUGGGUAGCAAACAGGAUUAGAUACCCUGGUAGUCCAUGCCGUAAACGAUGAUUACUAGGUGUUGGGGGAUUGACCCCCUCAGUGCCGCAGUUAACACAAUAAGUAAUCCACCUGGGGAGUACGACCGCAAGGUUGAAACUCAAAGGAAUUGACGGGGGCCCGCACAAGCAGUGGAGUAUGUGGUUUAAUUCGAAGCAACGCGAAGAACCUUACCAGGUCUUGACAUCCAACUAACGAAGUAGAGAUACAUUAGGUGCCCUUCGGGGAAAGUUGAGACAGGUGGUGCAUGGUUGUCGUCAGCUCGUGUCGUGAGAUGUUGGGUUAAGUCCCGCAACGAGCGCAACCCUUAUUGCCAGUUACUACGUUAAGAGGACUCUGGCGAGACUGCCGUUGACAAAACGGAGGAAGGUGGGGAUGACGUCAAAUCAUCAUGCCCUUUAUGACCUGGGCUACACACGUACUACAAUGGCGUUAAACAAAGAGAAGCAAGACCGCGAGGUGGAGCAAAACUCAAAAACAACGUCUCAGUUCAGAUUGCAGGCUGCAACUCGCCUGCAUGAAGUCGGAAUUGCUAGUAAUCGCGGAUCAGCAUGCCGCGGUGAAUACGUUCCCGGGCCUU
rnacentral:rRNA from 1 species